UACGUAGGGUGCAAGCGUUGUCCGGAAUUAUUGGGCGUAAAGAGCUCGUAGGCGGUUUGUCGCGUCGACUGUGGAAACCCGAGGCUUAACCUCGGGCCUGCAGUCGAUACGGGCAGACUAGAGUUCGGCAGGGGAGACUGGAAUUCCUGGUGUAGCGGUGAAAUGACGCAGAUAUCAGGAAGAACACCCGUGGCGAAAGCGGCUCUCUGGAACGGUACUGACGCUGAGACGCGAAAGCGUGGGGAGCGAACAGG
rnacentral:rRNA from 1 species